rnacentral:rRNA from 1 species
CCUACGGGAGGCAGCAGUGGGGAAUAUUGGGCAAUGGGCGCAAGCCUGACCCAGCAACGCCGCGUGAAGGAAGAAGGCUUUCGGGUUGUAAACCUCUUUUCUCAGGGACGAAGCAAGUGACGGUACCUGAGCAAUAAGCCACGGCUAACUACGUGCCAGCAGCCGCGGUAAGACGUAGGGGGCAAUCGUUAUCCGGAUUUACUGGGUGUAAAGGGCGUGUAGGCGGGACUGCAAGUCAGAUGUGAAAACCAUGGGCUCAACCUAUGGCCUGCAUUUGAAACGGUGGUUCUUGAGUACUGGAGAGGCAGACGGAAUUCCUAGUGUAGCGGUGAAAUGCGUAGAUAUUAGGAGGAACACCAGUGGCGAAGGCGGUCUACUGGACAGCAACUGACGCUGAGGCGCGAAAGCGUGGGGAGCAAACAGGAUUAGAUACCCUUGUAGUC